CCCACACACACACACGUACACGCACACAUGCACAAACACUGCCGCAGUAGACUGAUGAGUGCAGAGCAGCCAGCGCGUCACAAUUUUCACGGAUAUGACAGAAGGCAAAAGCGCUAGGCAGCAAGGUGGCGAAGAAACUCAGCGUGUGUUCCAGAGCUAGUGGUGGUGGGUGGGAGGUGGUUCCAGGAGGUUGCCGCUCGGUAGGAAAAAGCUCGUCUCGACAUUGAUAAGCGAUAAUUUGGUAACUCUAAUGCACCCGACAGCGUGGAACGUGUGGCGCGCGCAGACACAGCCGCCCGUGUUGUGAACAAAGUGCGUAAUGCCGCGGGAGCGAGCGGGUCCUUCAGCGCUCU